AAAUCAUGAUUUGGGCUCUUCUGCAAAUAAUCCUUGAAUCUCUCCCAAGCUUUAUAUAAUUGUUCCCCCGGAUCGCUUAAAUUCAUAGAUCUUGUCACGAAUUU